UACAGAGGGGGCAAGCGUUGUUCGGAAUUACUGGGCGUAAAGGGCGCGUAGGCGGCCUUCUAAGUCGAACGUGAAAUCCCCGGGCUCAACCCGGGAACUGCGUCCGAUACUGGAAGGCUUGAAUCCGGGAGAGGGAUGCGGAAUUCCAGGUGUAGCGGUGAAAUGCGUAGAGAUCGGGAGGAACACCAGCGGCGAAGGCGGCAAACUGGAUAGGCACUGACACUCAACAACGAAAGCGUGGGGAGCAAACAGG
rnacentral:rRNA from 1 species